AGCGAACGCUGGCAGCAGGCCUAACACAUGCAAGUCGAGCGGCCGUAGCAAUACGGCAGCGGCAGACGGGAGAGUAACACGUGGGAACGCGCCCUUCGGUCUGGAAUAACCCAGGGAAACUUGGGCUAAUACCGGAUACGCCCUUACGGGGAAAGAUUUAUUGCCGAAGGAACGGCCCGCGUCUGAUUAGCUAGUUGGUGAGGUAACGGCUCACCAAGGCGACGAUCGGUAGCUGGUCUGAGAGGAUGACCAGCCUCACUGGGACUGAGACACGGCCCAGACUCCUACGGGAGGCAGCAGUGGGGAAUAUUGGACAAUGGGCGCAAGCCUGAUCCAGCCAUGCCGGGUGGGUGAUGAAGGCCCUAGGGUUGUAAAGCCCCUUCAGCGGGGAAGAUAAUGACGGUACCCGCAGAAGAAGCCCCGGCUAACUUCGUGCCAGCAGCCGCAGUAACAC
rnacentral:rRNA from 1 species